UACGGGGGGAGCGAGCGUUGUUCGGAUUUAUUGGGCGUAAAGGGCGUACAGGCGGUAGUGUAAGUCAGAUGUGAAAUGCUUCGGCUCAACCGAGGACCUGCAUUUGAUACUGCACAACUUGAGUACAGGAGAGGAGAGCGGAAUUCUAGGUGUAGCGGUGGAAUGUGUAGAUAUCUGGAAGAACACCAGUGGCGAAGGCGGCUCUCUGGCCUGAUACUGACGCUGACGCGCGAAAGCUAGGGGAGCAAAC
rnacentral:rRNA from 1 species